rnacentral:rRNA from 1 species
UCCAGAGGGUGCAAGCGGUAUUCGGAAUUAUUGGGCGUAAAGAGCGCGUAGGCGGUUUGAUAAGUCUGGUGUGAAAUCCCUGGACUCAAUUCAGGAAGCGCAUUGGAUACUGUCAGACUAGAGUGCAGGAGAGGUGAGCGGAAUUCCCGGUGUAGAGGUGAAAUUCGUAGAUAUCGGGAGGAACAACAGUGGCGAAGGCGGCUCACUGGACUGUAACUGACGCUGAGGCGCGAAAGCGUGGGGAGAAAACAGG